rnacentral:rRNA from 1 species
GACGAACGCUGGCGGCGUGCUUAACACAUGCAAGUCGAACGGAAAGGCCCUGCUUUUGUGGGGUGCUCGAGUGGCGAACGGGUGAGUAACACGUGAGUAACCUGCCCUUGACUUUGGGAUAACUUCAGGAAACUGGGGCUAAUACCGGAUAGGAGCUCCUGCUGCAUGGUGGGGGUUGGAAAGUUUCGGCGGUUGGGGAUGGACUCGCGGCUUAUCAGCUUGUUGGUGGGGUAGUGGCUUACCAAGGCUUUGACGGGUAGCCGGCCUGAGAGGGUGACCGGCCACAUUGGUACUGAGAUAGGGCCCAGACUCCUACGGGAGGCAGCAGUGGGGAAUAUUGCGCAAUGGGCGGAAGCCUGAUGCAGCAACGCCGCGUGCGGGAUGACGGCCUUCGGGUUGUAAACCGCUUUCGCCUGUGACGAAGCGUGAGUGACGGUAAUGGGUAAAGAAGCACCGGCUAACUACGUG